CCUACGGGAGGCAGCAGUGAGGAAUAUUGGUCAAUGGGCGCGAGCCUGAACCAGCCAAGCAGCGUGAAGGAUGACUGCCCUACGGGUUGUAAACUUCUUUUAUAAAGGAAUAAAGUGAGGCACGUGUGCCUUUUUGAAGGUACCUUAUGAAUAAGGAUCGGCUAACUCCGUGCCAGCAGCCGCGGUAAUACGGAGGAUCCGAGCGUUAUCCGGAUUUAUUGGGUUUAAAGGGUGCGUAGAUGGUUUGUUAAGUCAGUUGUGAAAGUUUGCGGCUCAACCGUCAAAGUGCCAGUGAUACUGGCAGGCUUGAGUACAGUUGAGGUAGGCGGAAUGCGUGGUGUAGCGGUGAAAUGCUUAGAUAUCACGCAGAACCCCGAUUGCGAAGGCAGCUUACUAAACUGCCACUGACGUUGAUGCUCGAAAGUGUGGGUAUCAAACAGGAUUAGAUACCCCUGUAGUC
rnacentral:rRNA from 1 species